rnacentral:lncRNA from 1 species
AUGUUUUCCCACCUUUUUCCUCCCCUCACGUUUUCCCGCCUUUUUUCCCCUCACGUUUUCCCGCCUUUUUUCCCCUCAUGUUUUCCCGCCUUUUUUCCCCCCUCACGUUUUCCCGCCUUUUCCCCCUCACGUUUUCCCGCCUUUUUCCUCUCACAUUUUCCCGCCUUUUUUCCCCCUCACAUUUUCCCGCCUUUUCCCCCUCACAUUUUCCCGCCUUUUUUCCCCUCACAUUUUCCCGCCUUUUUCCUCUUACAUUUUCCCGCCUUUUUCCCCCCUCAUGUUUUCCCGCCUUUUUCCUCUCACAUUUUCCCGCCAUUUUCCUCUCACAUUUUCCCGCCUUUUUUCCCCUCAUGUUUUCCCGCCUUUUUCCUCUCACGUUUUCCCGCCUUUUUCCUCUCACGUUUUCCCGCCUUUUUUCCCCUCAUGUUUUCCCGCCAUUUUCCUCUCACAUUUUCCCACCUUUUUUCCCCUCACGUUUUCCCGCCUUUUGUCCCCUCAUGUUUUCCCGCCUUCUUUCCCCUCACAUUUUCUCGCCUUUUUCCCCUCCCCUCACGUUUUCCCGCCUUUUUUUCCCCUCACGUUUUCCCGCCUUUUUCCCCCCUCACGUUUUCCUGCCCUUUUCCUCUCACUUUUUCCCGCCUUUUUCCCCCCUCACGUUUUCCCGCCUUUUUCUACCCUCACGUUUUCCCGCCCUUUUCCUCUCACAUUUUCCCGCCUUUUUACCCCUCACAUUUUCCCGCCUUUUUUUCCUCCCCUCACGUUUUCCCACCUUUUUUCCCCCCUCACGUUUUCCCGCCCUUUUCCUCUCACAUUUUCCCGCCUUUUCCCCCCUCACGUUUUCCCGCCUUUUUUCCCCUCAUGUUUUCCCGCCUUUUUCCUCUCACAUUUUCCCGCCUUUUUUCCCCCCUCACGUUUUCCCGCCUUUUUUCCCCUCACGUUUUCCCGCCUUUUCCCCCCCUCACGUUUUCCCGCCUUUUUUUCUCCCUCAGUUUCCCUCCAUUUCCUCCCCUCACAAUUUUAAUAAAAUAA